rnacentral:rRNA from 1 species
CCCUUAGAUGUUCUGGGCUGCACGCGCGCUACACUGAAGCUAUCAACACGUUUUCCCUUCCUGAGAAGGGCGGGUAACCUUUUGAAUCAGCUUCGUGGUAGGGAUCGGGGCUUGCAAUUGUUCCCCGUGAACCAGGAAUUCCUAGUAGACGCGAGUCAUAAGCUCGCAUCGAUUAAGUCCCUGCCCUUUGUACACACCGCCCGUCGCUACUACCGAUUGAACGUUUUAGUGAGGCAUUUGGACCGACGCAUCUCAGUUUAACCGCUGGUUUGUGUUGGAAAGACUUCCAAACUUGAGCGUUUAGAGGAAGUAAAAGUCGUAACA